rnacentral:rRNA from 1 species
UAGUCCACGCCGUAAACUAUGGACACUUGGUGUUGGAGGUAUUGACCCCUUCAGUGCCGGAGCUAACGCGUUAAGUGUCCCGCCUGGGGAGUACGGUCGCAAGAUUAAAACUCAAAGAAAUUGACGGGGGCCCGCACAAGCGGUGGAGCAUGUGGUUUAAUUCGAUGCAACGCGAAAUACCUUACCUGGGUUUGAAUUGCAGUGGAAUUUGGUAGAGAUAUCAAAGCUCUUCGGAGCUGCUGUGAAGGUGCUGCAUGGCUGUCGUCAGCUCGUGUCGUGAGAUGUUGGGUUAAGUCCCGCAACGAGCGCAACCCUUACCUUUAGUUGCCAGCCAUUUAGUUGGGCACUCUAAAGGGACUGGCCGACGUUAAGUCGGAGGAAGGUGGGGAUGACGUCGAAGUCCUCAUGGCCCUUAUGUCCAGGGCUACACACGUGCUACAAUGGGAAAUACAAAGGGUUGCUAAGCCGUAAGGUGGAGCUAAUCCCAAAAAUUUCUCUAAGUUCGGAUUGAGGUCUGCAACUCGACCU